AAACCCCUUAGCCCACAUAAAAAAAUCCUAACAUACUUCCUCUUCUUUGCAUCACAGAAACAGCACUGGAGGCUCUUAUUUUUUUCCUUCUCAUUUUUUCUCAUUGGAUAUUGUACCUAUACCAGCCAUCCUUCCCAUUCCACUUCUAAUACAAAAUCUUAUCAAGAUUUCUGAUCAAUUGAUCAAGAAAAUGCCACCUCCUAUAUCUGCCUCCCUAAGAAUUGAUCUCAACCAUUGUAUCUAGUUCUUAUUCUAUAUAAAUAGUUACUAAACAAGGAGUUUAGGUUUUUUCAGAAGCAAAGGGUGAUCAAAGGAUCAGUAACAGAAACAAAUAGGAGAGCAAAAGAUCAGAAAGAAAAGAAAGAAGAAGAAAAAUUUCAGAAAAGAAAAGGCAUUAGGACUAAUGAACCAGCCCCAUUCGUCCCCAGCUUUCUCUUUUGUUUUAGACCUUUUGGGUUAGAUUCUUUUUCCUAUGUUUUCUAGAUUCAUAAUAGAAUGAUUUCCCUAUUGAGAGUAUCUGGAGAAAGCGGCUUUAAAGGCUUGAAAUUGGAGUAUUGAAUUCAUCUUAGGCGCAACUCUUGUUGCCAAAGAAGCUGUCGCUUUGGGUCUAUUUUGUGUUCAAAAUCUAUACACUACCAGAGUUUAUGCUCAAUCUGACUUCCCAAGCACCAAUGGUAACUCUUGUUUAUUCUUUUCCAUGUAUUCAAAUUUAGGUAAAAGGUUAAAUCCAUCAUAAAGGAGUUCUAAGCUUUUAUCUUUUGAUUAGACAUGGUGAUUCAUGUUUUGCUUUUAUUUGUGCCCGUUUCAUGAUCAUUAUAGCCUCAUAGAGACCCUUUUAACCGUCUAUUGAUGUUUGAUUAAAGGGCUGAUUCCACUUUGUCCCCCCAAACUUUGGACGAUUACCCACUUUAGUCCCUAAAUUUCAAAAUGGGACACUUAAAUCCCUAAAACUUAUAAAUUGGGACACUUAAGUCCCUAAACUUAUAAAAUUGGACACUUAAAUCCCUAAACCCUUAUAAAAUGGGACACUUCGACCACCACGGCAUUCAGGAUUUUGUUAACAAUUUUCCUUAAUUGGGAGGUAUUUAUAAGUUUAGGGACUUAAGUGUCCCAUUUUGAAGUUUAGGGACUAAAGUGGGUAAUCAUCCAAAGUUUGGGGGGACAAAGUGGAAUUAACCCUUGAUUAAAUAAGAAAAUGUCAAAAUUAAAAGUUAGCUCCUUGAACUUUGAAUUGGGUAUGUUGUUAUUGGCAACUUUUGGCAAAUGAGAUUAUACUUGAUAGUUGGUCAAAGGUUGUUCUUUAUGUUUGAUGAAUCUAUAGCAUAUUUUAAAAUAGAUUUUAGUGCAUAUUUCAUGACAUUUUGUGUGUUUUGGGUUUUGGAUGCUUUGAAGGAAAUCUAUCUAUUUGUUCCCUGUUCAUGAACCUUGAGUUGAUAUAGAUAGUGAGGCUGUCUUUCUUGUGACGUGGAGGUUGUUUCUCUAGUUUUGGUUCCCAAAAUAAGCUACCAGAGCUUGAUCCCGGCGAAGUUCCGACCAUUCUUGUCGGAAUAUUUCUAGAGGCCAACGAAACUUGCUAAUGCUUACCUUGUCUUUUGUUUCCUUUUCUUUUUUUACUUGGAUUAAUUUGAGUCUUUGGGUUUGUUUAGAUUUAAGUCAAGCUUGUUUGGGUUUUAAGGAGUUGGAUUAAUAUGAUUGUUUGUUUUUUUUUUUGUCAUCGUCACUUUAUCUAUAUUAUUGGAAAAUUGAUAGGGACUGAACCACCAUCGGAUCAGCG
rnacentral:lncRNA from 1 species